GGAGGAUUCGCCUAGUGGCCUAGGGCGCACGCUUGGAAAGCGUGUUGGGUUAACACCCUCACGAGUUCGAAUCUCGUAUCCUCCGCCA
rnacentral:tRNA from 1 species